GGUUGAGUGGUCUAGCGGUUAUGAUUUCUGUCUAACAGUGCGCGGAGUCGAACCGCCAUUGCACACAGAAGGCUCGCGGUUCGAUUCCGCGCUCAAUCA
rfam:Sistotremastrum niveocremeum HHB9708 unplaced genomic scaffold SISNIscaffold_37, whole genome shotgun sequence.